rnacentral:tRNA from 1 species
GAGGGUAUAGCUCAAGCGGUAGAGUGCAUGCUCAGCAUGCAUGAGGUUCUGGGUUCAAUCCUCAGUACCUCCU